AUUGAACGCUGGCGGCAUGCCUUACACAUGCAAGUCGAACGGUAACGGGCCUUCGGGUGCCGACGAGUGGCGAACGGGUGAGUAAUACAUCGGAACGUGCCCGAUCGUGGGGGAUAACGAGGCGAAAGCUUUGCUAAUACCGCAUACGAUCUACGGAUGAAAUCCGGGGACCGCAAGGCCUUGCGCGGACGGAGCGGCCGAUGGCAGAUUAGGGAGUUGGUGGGAUAAAAGCUUACCAAGCCGACGAUCUGUAGCUGGUCUGAGAGGAUGAUCAGCCACACUGGGACUGAGACACGGCCCAGACGCCUACGGGAGGCAGCAGUGGGGAAUUUUGGACAAUGGGCGCAAGCCUGAUCCAGCCAUGCCGCGUGCAGGAUGAAGGCCUUCGGGUUGUAAACUGCUUUUGUACGGAACGAAAAGCCUUCUUUUAAUACAGGAGGGUCAUGACGGUACCGUAAGAAUAAGCACCGGCUAACUACGUG
rnacentral:rRNA from 1 species